rnacentral:rRNA from 1 species
UUAGAGGCUUAAAAUAUCAUGCAUAGUUAGAAUUGCUGGCGUCAUGCUCUUAGACGGUGCAACUCGACCGGUAACUGCGCGCUUCGAAGCGCUGACAACUGCAGAACGUGUGUGUAAUGCGUCAGGAGCGUGGCCGUGUAAUGGGAGAUAGCUCGGUGAGAGCCCGCAUGCAUUACCGGCAUACGGCCUGAGGGGGAAAGCGGGGGAUCGACAGACCUCGCGUUAUACGAGCAGACGACGUCUGAUUAGCUAGUUGGUGAGGUAAGAGCUCACCAAGGCGACGAUCAGUAGCGGGUCUGAGAGGAUGAUGCUUCACACUGGGACUGAGACGCUGCCCAGACUCCUACGGGAGGCAGCAGUGGCGAAUUUUGGACAAUGGAGGCAACCCUGAUCCAGCCAUGCCGCGUGUCUGAAGAAGGCCUUCGGGUUGUAAAGGACUUUUGUCAGGGAGGAAAUCCCGCUGGUUAAUCCCCGGCGGGGAUGACAGUAUCUGAAGAAUAAGCACCGGCUAACUACGUGCCAGCAGCCGCGGUAAUACGUAGGGUGCGAGCGUUAAUCGGAAUUACUGGGCGUAAAGCGUGCGCAGGCGGUUGUGCAAGUCUGAUGUGAAAGCCCCGGGCUUAACCUGGGAACGGCAUUGGAGACUGCACAGCUAGAGUGCGUCAGAGGGGGGUAGAAUUCCACGUGUAGCAGUGAAAUGCGUAGAGAUGUGGAGGAAUACCGAUGGCGAAGGCAGCCCCCUGGGAUGACACUGACGCUCAUGCACGAAAGCGUGGGGAGCAAACAGGAUUAGAUACCCUGGUAGUCCACGCCCUAAACGAUGUCAACUAGCUGUUGGGGGUUUGAAUCCUUGGGAGCGUAGCUAACGCGUGAAGUUUGCACU